rnacentral:misc_RNA from 1 species
CUGGAUUGUUAGGUUGCUGUGAAGCUUGUUAAUGGAGAAGCUGAGAUUGUUGGGUGUGCUCACCAAUUGUCAUCAGUUUCUUCAACGUCCCUGAGAUGUUGUUAUAAAUCAUUGUUGCAGGGAAGCUAAUAUGGUAGCUGAUAAGCUGGCUGUUUCUUCGAACAUGGGUAUGCGGUCACUUGCUGCUCCUCCUCGCAAUGUUCUUGAGCUUCUUCAUAUGGAUAUGCAGGGAUCUCUUGGCCUAAGCAAAACUAGGAAGAAGCACAAAGGGGACACGCCUAUUUCACCGUCAAAUUCUGAAGACGAUGACUUGGAAACCUCGGAAGCGAAACGGCGGCGGCGGCGGAAAGACCGACGAAGUAGCUAUGGGAGCUC